rnacentral:rRNA from 1 species
CCUACGGGUGGCAGCAGUGAGGAAUAUUGGUCAAUGGGCGGGAGCCUGAACCAGCCAAGUCGCGUGAGGGACGACGGUCCUAUGGAUUGUAAACCUCUUUUGUCGGGGAACAAAGGCGCCCACGGGUGGGCGGAUGAGUGUACCCGAAGAAAAAGCAUCGGCUAACUCCGUGCCAGCAGCCGCGGUAAUACGGAGGAUGCGAGCGUUAUCCGGAUUUAUUGGGUUUAAAGGGUGGGUAGGCGGACAGUCAAGUCAGCGGUAAAAAUGCGGUGCUAAACGCCGUACAGCCGUUGAAACUGGCAGUCUUGAGUACAGUAGAGGUGGGCGGAAGUCGUGGUGUAGCGGUGCAAUGCUUAGAUAUCACGAAGAACUCCGAUUGCGAAGGCAGCUCACUGGACUGCAACUGACACUGAGGCUCGAAAGUGUGGGUAUCAAACAGGAUUAGAUACCCUAGUAGUC